CAUCUUAAAGAAUAAUUUUAUAAAAUCUGGUAGUUGUCGGGCACGUGAGAAAGUUUGUUCUUCGCAGCUGAAAGAUCUUUUGUAUAAAAUAUUUAAAUGCAGUAUAUAGUAGAUGAAUUUUGCACUGUUCAUUUCUCCUCCUUUUCUCCCCAACACCUAGUCAUAUUAUACUAUUCCAUUUUAAGUGCAGAAACUGCAGAAAGUAUAAUAACGUAUUUAGUGCAGCAUAAAGAAAGAACGGAUGUGUGUAAAGUAAAAGGAACCGUGGCGAAUCGCGAAGCGAUCGUGUGAAACGGGUUGCGCGUUGCGACUUGCGCCGGCCCGGCCGGGCCGCGCGAAUGACAGCGCACAGCGCUCGUGUCAGGUUGAACGUUGAACGUUGAACGAACGUCGCGUCCGCGAAUGCGGAGCCCGAAGACCGAAGCGACCGAGCCUUUGUUUCUAUCGUCGCUGCGGGCUGCGGCUGCGUCCUGCGUGUCCUCGUCGUCCUCCGGUGUUUGCGCUCGCAAGGAACUAGUGAACGAUGACCUUCGCAGCCACGAGUCGCGCGUUCCACGGAAAUGUUUGUUUUGCUCGGCUCGUCGCCCUCGUCAGCCGAUGAAACGAGAAACUGGAACUGGAUGAGACCGGCGCGACCAAGGACUGAAGACGAUCGUGACUCGUGAGCUCGUGACUCUCACCACCGUGCAUCGUCCGCGGACCUAACCUCUGUCGCCCCGAGGUUUUACCCAGAUUAACCUGAAACCUGAAACGCUACGAACCCGCUCAUCUCGCUCGCGAGGCAGAGCCGUUGUGAACGUCGAGGACCGUCGUUCAUCGAGCUGCUCGACUCUAGAACCCCAAGGAAAGGAACGACGAACGACCCACGUCCCACGACGAUACGCGAGGAUACGUGCCGCAGGAGAGAUGGCCGGAAACAACGAGCUCUGGGUGCAGUGUUUCACGUGCUGCCUGACUCCGCGGGCGACGAGGAACAACAGGCGAAACGGGGCCGGCGGUAGGCCGCAUCAGAGGCUCAGGAUAGACCGGAGCAUGAUUGGCGUGCCCACGAACUUCAGGCACACGGCGCACAUCAGCAGCGGCGACCUCGACAUGUCGAUCGCGCAGCUGGCCGACCUCCAGGCGCAAAUGCAGAGGAAGAGUGGUUUCGACGGCGACUUUGGCGCCAAGACCUGCUGAGGAUAGCUUCAUCGAUGUCGCAGCUGGGUAUUUAACACGACGGAGACGGAGCGAGAGCUUUACGAUAUGGCGGAAGGAGGACAAGAAGAAAGGAGCUCGCGUGAGAUAAAAAUGAAAUGUGGAUGACUCAAUGACUGAUAAUCCGUGAGAAGAGACACGAGAGAAGAAUUUAGAAACAAAUAUUUGUAUAGAAUAGAGGAAGAAGGGAAGGAAUUUUCUGAAGGCAGGCGACAAGACGACAACGCACGCGUCGGCUUCGAAAUGUCCGAUUGUCCGAUUGUCAUUAUAUAUUAUAAUUAUUCUUAAAAACUGGUCGGUUAUUCCGCUGCGUCCGCGAUAGGAUUGAGACAGAGAUAAUGUAACCACAUGGGUGAUAUAUAUUAAACUCCGCAAUAAAGUUGUCCACUCGCUUUUAGUGCGCAUAUAUGUAUAUCGUACUGUUAUCCGCGGAUACGCGGAACACGGUUCUGCGUCUUUCAACCGACAUGGCAUGCGACUUGCUCGGCUUCCACGCGCCGCACGCGUAUAAGUCCCAUGCAUCGAGUAAACCUGGAGUAAAACUGGAGUAAACAUCCAGUGAGUAUAACGAUGUAAGAAUUCUCGGAGAAAGGCAAAUAGAAAUGUAUGCGAAUAAAUAGUUCGUCCAAGUACAAGUAGAGUAGAUGAAUGGUCGGCGGGCUAAUUUCCUAUAAAGGGCUAAAUCCAGGAUUAAUUUUGAAUGCAAUCGCAAGGUUGCAGUCGUAUUUGCAUGGUGACCCUGA